rnacentral:tRNA from 1 species
GGGGCUGUGGCUCAGCGGUGGAGUGCUUACCCAGCAUGAAUGAGGCCCUGGGUUCGAUCCUCAGCACCACA